UACGUAGGGUGCAAGCGUUAAUCGGAAUUACUGGGCGUAAAGCGUGCGCAGGCGGUUAUGUAAGACCGGGGUGAAAUCCCCGGGCUUAACCUGGGAACUGCAUUUGUGACUGCAUAGCUAGAGUACGGUAGAGGAGGAUGGAAUUCCGCGUGUAGCAGUGAAAUGCGUAGAUAUGCGGAGGAACACCGAUGGCGAAGGCAAUCCCCUGGACCUGUACUGACGCUCAGGCGCGAAAGCUAGGGGAGCGAACGGG
rnacentral:rRNA from 1 species